AGCCCGCAGCCGGGAGGAGGCGGCCGAGAGGCACAGAGAAAAGAGAGCUGUUCCCCGCCUUCGCCUCUCAGCGGGGAAGGGAGGGAACCGGUGGACCUGAGCUGCCUCAGGCGCGGAAUGGGAACAAUGGCAGAGCCGCCCGGUAGCCAAAACUCAAGCGCAUGCGCGUCCCUUCGGCCGCCACUGUUUGCCACGAGGAAAAGCACGGGAAGAACUUCUGCGGCAGCGGCGGGGCAGUUCUCGGGGCAAGCUGGGCUUUCGGAGAGGGCAGGAGGCGCCCCCGGUCCCGUUGGGAAAGGAAGACGCGAUCAGGAACUCAGGGAGUGCCGCGUUUCCCAGUGUCAGAACUCGGAAAGAGAUUGGCAGAGGAAACAGCGCAGUCUACCAGUUUAAUCGGAUUGCGGAGACAGAGAUUAUUGCUGGCCUUGGUCCCAUCAGCCCAAGCUUGGAUGUAACCCCAGUAAGAUGUCAUCAAGGUCAGCAAACAGGUACUUGUGGUUGUUGAUCUUUCAUGCUCUGCAGAUGAAAGUAAAUGAAUUCCAAAGAAAAGAGAAGCUGAAUCAUCAGACAUAAGCAUGCUAUUCUUAUUAUCUUGGCACCUAAGCAAAGGCAAAAUUUUCCUUUCAAAUACCACUGUGUGGCAGCUGUGACUGUCCUUAAUGAGUGUUUUACUUAAAAUAGACAGAAACUGGGAAGGCUUAAAUGGGAACGAUACCAAGAAAACAGACCAACCAGCCAGAUGGUGAGUGCUUCCAGUGGGGUGGGGGGAGAGGCGGAUUGUGAAAGAGUCAAAUCACAGCAAUUAACAGGGAAUAAAGGGACAUGUGGGAGCACUUACACUUUUGUGAAACACUCUUGUUUUUCAUCAUCCCCUACACAUUUAUAUGUAUGCAUAUGUAAUUAUAUCUGACAGACAGGUUGAGUAUUUAUUUUUGGUCUGUUACAACUAUUUUAAUUAUUCCCAGCCACAUUAAAUCUUCCAUUUGAAAUGAGGUGCAUUUUUUCCCAAUGCAAUUCCUAAAUUGUGAUAUUAAUUGCAAAUGUUUAAUGAUUUUUAUCAACCAAAUUAAUAGCAACAUUUGUUUCUAUGCAAUGAGUAUGAAAUUAAUAACUAAGAAAGGAUUCAUUCUCUCCAUGUUUUUGCUGACAAUUUUUGGCAAUAUUCAUUAACCAGUUGCCUUUGAAGAACAGGAAAUAAAUCCUGUUAAGGAUUUAGUAUCACAAUAUACACAACAAGCAUACUAAAAGUGCAUGAUACAAAGCACCUUAAAUCAGUUUACAUCUUCCCAAUCUGCUCUUUGUCAGAUCCAUUGGACAGCAGCUCUUAUAAUUCUCAGUCAGCUUGGCCCUUGGACAGUAUAGUUUUCAAAUUAAGGAUAAAACAUUAUUAAACAGUUUUUGUUAAUUAUUGAAUUCACAUAGUGUGCUUUGCCAUGAAAUGGUUAAUUUGGUUGGAUUUGUCUUAUUGCGGUACCUAAACUUAUCCGAUUAUGAUUUAUUCAACUGUUAACCAAGCAGAGCUUUUACCAUAUAUGGACCUAGCCAUAUGUUGAGUGUCAAUAAUGAUUGAGAACUUCAGUUUUACAGAGUUUUCCAAUCUUGAUAUUUUUUUCCAUUGGCUAGCAAAGAAUAUUUAGUUGUGUUCAACAACAACGACAAAAAACUACCCGUUAUUAUUCAUCCUUCUGCAUGUAUUCUUAGAUAUACGGUUUCACAGUCUGUACAAAUCCACGCUUGAUUUAGAAUCAGAUCAAGAUCUAGAUCUUUGACAAACAAAAAGACUUUUUAAAAAUGCAAGCGGACAAAGCAUCGAAAUCAAAUCAAAUCCAGGAAUAAAAAAAUAAACUCAUAUUUAUCCCAUUUAACAAAUUUUAAACAGAAGUAAAAUACAAGUAGUUCAAAUAAAAAAUGAAUUUCAUAUUCAAUAACCUAUCUAUAAAUUUGGCAAUUCCCAAAAAAAUAGGGCAAAAAUUAAGAUGAUAUAAACCAACAUUCAGUAUGAGGUUGCAUGGUAAAUUUCUGGCUCAAGAUUUUCACAGAUUUUCUGAAGUAACUCAGUUAAGGUCUCUGAAAUAAACUUGUACUUCCACUCAUCUUGCUCUUAAAUCAGCUUUAAGUUCUUUGCUCCCACAGAUUUCAGCCAAUUCCAAGAUUGUUCUUGAUUUCUCUCCAGAAUAUUUUAUUACUUUCCAACAGUCUUGCAGUAUUUUGAUGUUGUGAAAUUCAUGCCAAAUUCUGUGAUUCAGAAAUGUUAUGAUCUGUUUUUCUGCUGAUUAAAGGAAAUAGAUACUGAAAUG